rnacentral:rRNA from 1 species
AUUGAACGCUGGCGGAAUGCUUUACACAUGCAAGUCGAGCGGCAGCACGGGGGCAACCCUGGUGGCGAGCGGCGAACGGGUGAGUAACACAUCGGAACGUACCCUGUCGUGGGGGGAUAACGAAUCGAAAGAUUCGCUAAUACCGCAUACGACCCGAGGGUGAAAGCGGGGGAUCGCAAGACCUCGCGCGACAGGAGCGGCCGAUGGCGGAUUAGCUAGUUGGUGGGGUAAAGGCCCACCAAGGCGACGAUCCGUAGCGGGUCUGAGAGGACGGCCCGCCACACUGGGACUGAGACACGGCCCAGACUCCUACGGGAGGCAGCAGUGGGGAAUUUUUGGGACAAUGGGGGGCAACCCUGAUCCAGCCAUUCCGCGUGAGUGAAGAAGGCCUCGG